UCCAGUUUACUAGAUUUGUUGUCCGCGCCAUACCAAGUGUAAGCAGAAUUAUUGAACAAAUCAGUAUCUACUGUCUGAAAUACACAAUUCUUCCUGUCUGAUUCGCUUCUUACUGCGUUAAAGUCCCCUAAGAGCAUGAUGUAUUCUUCACUUAAAUGUCAUAGCACAUAUAAUAAAUCACCCCAAAGAACUCGUUUUUG
rnacentral:lncRNA from 1 species